AAUUUUGGACAAUGGGGGCAACCCUGAUCCAGCCAUCCCGCGUGUGCGAUGAAGGCCUUCGGGUUGUAAAGCACUUUUGGCAGGGAAGAAAAGGCUCUGGUGAAUACCCGGAGCUGCUGACGGUACCUGCAGAAUAAGCACCGGCCAACUACGUGCCCGCAGCCGCGGUAAUCCGUAGGAUGCAAGCGUUAAUCGGAAUUACUGGGACUAAAGCGUGCGCAGGCGGUUUGGCAAGAAGGAUGUGAAAUCCCGGGGCUUAACCUCGGAACUGCAUUCAUAACUGCCAGGCUAGAGUAUGUCGGAGGGGGGUAGAAUUCCGCGUGUAGCAGUGAAAUGCGUAGAGAUGCGGAGGAAUACCGAUGGCGAAGGCAGCCCCCUGGGAUAAUACUGACGCUCAUGCACGAAAGCGAGGGGAGCAAACA
rnacentral:rRNA from 1 species